rnacentral:rRNA from 1 species
GAUGAACGCUGGCGGCGUGCCUAAUACAUGCAAGUCGAGCGAACGGACGAGAAGCUUGCUUCUCUGAUGUUAGCGGCGGACGGGUGAGUAACACGUGGAUAACCUACCUAUAAGACUGGUAUAACUUCGGGAAACCGGAGCUAAUACCGGAUAAUAUUUUGAACCGCAUGGUUCAAAAGUAAAAGACGGCCUUGCUGUCACUUCUAGAUGGAUCCGCGCUGCAUUAGCUAGUUGGUAAGGUAACGGCUUACCAAGGCAACUAUGCAUAGCCGACCUGAGAGGGUGAUCGGCCACACUGGAACUGAGAGGCGGUCCUGGCUCCUACGGGAGGCAGCAGUAGGGAAGCUACCGAAAUGGGCGAAAGCUUGACGGAGCAACGCAGCGUGAGUGAUGAAGGUCUGCGGAUCGUAAAACUCUGUUAUUGGGGAAAAACAUAUGUGUAAGUAACGGUGCGCAUCUGAAGGGAACCGAAUAAGAAGGCCAGGCCAAACUACGG